UGAACAGAGGUUUUACUGCAUGCCGCCGUGUUCUGUUAGUUUUGCCCGUGUAAAUGUGUACUCUACCGUAGUUGUUUGUAUUAUGCUGGGCAUUCUGGGUCCCCGUCUUUUUUUCUUGUAAAUUUGUAAUGACUCCCGGUGCCUGAGCACCCCGCACUCCACUCAUCACCCGCGCUGAAGUUCCACGUGUAUAUUGUACGACAGAAAGUGAAGAGAGAAAUGUGUUAUGCGGCAUAAUCACAAUACUAUGAAACUUGAUCACAAGAUACUCCAUCUGUCUCACAAUAUAAGAUCAUUUUUCAAGUUGUACGAUCUUAUAUUGCGGGACGGAGGGAGUAAUAAAUAUGGCAUCACCGGAAGGACACCGAUAUUUGCGGUACUUCCGAAAUAACAUCCGACAAACCAAAAAGAUGCAAGUCUGACGAACAGUUGUGAACUGAAUACAGAUGUCUGAAGUCUGAACCGCAUCUAAAACAGUUGGCUGUAUUCUUCAGGUCUGAAGAAGAAACACCGGCACUAGAACAAUAGCUUGUCUAUGCGUACGCCAGAGUAUCAGUAUCGUUCGGUUCAGUCAGUCAUUGCCAUCCUUCUUUCCAAUCUGUAUGAUGACAGUACAUUCAGUUUGUAUCACACAGUACGCGGAUGCGGUCAGUCGUCUUCUCCUCUUGCGAGCACAAUUCUUUAAUUUUUCCUUAGAGAGAGAAUCUUCCGAGCACAGAUGGCAUCGCAUCGCACGCAAUGGGCUUGCAAGCCUGGGCAGAUAUUUUGUCACAAGUCCACAUUACAGCGGCAGAAAAGCGGGGUUUCGCACAGCGGCAUAUCCGAAUAUUUCUCCCUUUUCCAGAAAUUUAUUCAAAUUCUAAAUAUAUUAUUUUAAAACUCUGAACAAUAUUUGACAAGCCCGGACAUGUUUUCCAAAAAAAUUCUUUUGUAGUACUGAACAAAUUUGAAAAAUGUGUACAUUCCUAAUUGGCGAAAUGGUUUCCAAAAAGAGGCUUUUUUUUUCAAAAAAUCCAAACAUUUUUGACAAAUUUUCAAAAACAGGAAUGUUUUUAAAAUUCCAAUUUCUAUUUACGAACAAUUUUUGAAACAUAUGUGAACAAAUUCUCAAAAACAGUAAUAUUUUUAAAAUUCCAACGAAAUUUCGACAAAUAUGAACGAUUUCUGAUUAAAUUUUGAAGUUGAGAAUAUUUUUUUAAAAACAGGAACAUUUUCGGAAUUAUGAAUAAAUUUCCAAAAGGGAACAUUAUACCAAUUACAAACAUUUCUUUUACAAACACGAACAAUAUUAAAAAAAAUGAAUUAUUUUUUAAUUCAUGAACAAAAUUUUAAAGUGAAGAUUUAAGAAUUUGUGUAAAAUAAUUCAAAAACAGAAACAUUUUUUAGAAUUCAAAACAACUUUUUACAAAUACAAACAAUUUUGAUAAAAUUUUGAAGCUGUGCACAAAUUUUUAAAAGAGGACAUUUUUGAAUUGAUGAACACUUUUUAAAACAGGGGAAAAAAUCCAAUUCUAAACAAUUUCUCACAGAUGCGACUAAGGUUUGUAAGAAGUUGAACUAUUUUUCAAUUUGUUAACAGACUUUAAAAAUGGGAAUUUUUUGAAUUAAUGUACAAAUUUCAAAAAACAGGGACAAAUCCAAACAUUUUUUUACACAUAUGUACAAAUUUGAAAUACAGCAACAUUUUUUAAAAUUUCAAUCAUUUUUUGAAGAUCACAAACAAAAUUUGGAAAGGUAACUUUUUUUAUAAUUUCAAUCAAAUUUGGACAAGCACGGACAUGUUUUGGAAGAAUCAAGAACAAUGUUUGAAUAUGUGAAAAAAUUGGAAAUUGAAUAUUUUUCUAAAAUUGUGACCAAAUUUUGAAAAUAAAAUUUUUUUAGCACAUCAAACAUUUUUUAUAAAUCUGAAUACUAUUUGACAAAUCAUGAAAAAUUGUUUAAAUUCCAAAAAAACAAAAUCGUGAACAAUAUUUGAAAACAUGAAUAAUUUUUGAAUUAUGAGCAAUAUUUAAAGUUUCAAAACAAUAUUUUGAAAAAUAACAUGGAAAGGAACGGAAAAAACCCCUCAAAAACAGUUCAUGAACCUCUAGAAGUUCCCCAAAACCCAAACGAACAAACAGGUUAAAUGGCAUGAACCUCUAGAAGUUUCCAAUAACCUAAACGAACAAAUAGGUUAAAUAGGUCGACCCACAUGCUUCCGCUAGUGCUCUUGGCUGUGCAAAGCGGAGACAAUUUGACGCAACACGUGACAAAUAGGGAUUUCCUUACAAUUGAUCACCAAUUUAGCACCCUAGAUCCUCACAAAAAAAAAA
rnacentral:lncRNA from 1 species